AAGAAAGUGUUGGAUUGGUUCUCUCAUAAUAGUUGACCUACUAAAUACAAUCAUUACAUCCGUCUCAAUAUUUUAUGGGUUAUGGUGGUUUCAAGAGCGCUGGAUGCCAAUCUUAAUGGGAGUUUAUGUUUUUUUGGAGUUCAUCCUUUACCUGGGAGCAGUUUGCUUUCAGCAGAUGGAAAAACGCAAGGCAGAAAGAAAAAAUACUACUGCUCUGAAACACAGGAAAAUCACAUGGAGGUUCAUGUUUGUCAUUUGCUUAGUGUUUUAUGUAAUGAUUACAGUUGCACUUAUUGCCGGAGUGUCUUCACAUGUAAUGUAAAACUGUCGAAAGAACUUCUGCAAGAUUCUUUGGUUGGCGGAUGUUUGCAGAACAGUUUCAAGAUUUUAGUGUGUUUCUACCAGGGUUCCCACGGGUGAUGGGAUUUGUGGAAUGUCAUGGAAUAUGAGGCAUAUUCCAGACAUUAUCAGUAAGGGAAUUUUAUAUAUGAGCAAUUCCAGCGUUAUGGAUGUGACAUUUGCAGUAAAAACUCAACACAUAAAU